UACAGAGGGGCAAGCGUUGUUCGGAAUUAUUGGGCGUAAAGGGCGUGUAGGCGGUUUGCUAAGUCAUGUGUGAAAUCCCCCGGCUUAACCGAGGAACGACGCAUGAUACUGGCAAGCUAGAGUACCAAAGAGGGGGUGGAAUUCCCGGUGUAGCGGUGAAUGCGUAGAUAUCGGAGGAACACCGGUGGCGAAGGCGGCCAUCUGGACCAGCACUGACACUGAGGCACGAAAGCGUGGGAGCAAACAGG
rnacentral:rRNA from 1 species